rnacentral:tRNA from 1 species
GCUCCUGUAGUUCAACGGAUAGAACAGAUCCGUCCUAAGGAUAAAAUGAAGGUUCAAUUCCUUCCGGGGGCACCA